GGCCCGGUCGGCGAGCGGGGAGCCGGUGCCGUUGGCGUUGACGUACCCGACCUCCGCCGGGUCGACGCCGGCCCGGGCGA
rnacentral:tRNA from 1 species